UACGUAGGGUGCGAGCGUUGUCCGGAAUUAUUGGGCGUAAAGAGCUCGUAGGCGGUUUGUUGCGUCGGCCGUGAAAACCUGCAGCUUAACUGUGGGCCUGCGGCCGAUACGGGCAGACUUGAGUUCGGUAGGGGAGACUGGAAUUCCUGGUGUAGCGGUGAAAUGCGCAGGUAUCAGGAGGAACACCGGUGGCGAAGGCGGGUCUCUGGGCCGAUACUGACGCUGAGGAGCGAAAGCGUGGGGAGCGAACAGG
rnacentral:rRNA from 1 species